UGAUCUCGUCUCCUAGCGGUUAGAGCUCCAGCCUAAGAUGCGGGUGGUCGAAGGUUCGAACCCCGGCCGAGUCAU